rnacentral:sRNA from 1 species
GGGUGUCUCCUUCCUCCCUCACCACUCCAUGUGCAUCGCUCCUGAAGCUGUGCACUAGGUCCACGACCUCCCCCGAUAGAGGAGGACCAUUCUUCUGUCAAUGGUAUACAAGUAGCUGUGCUCCCCUGCAAGAACCUCCAAACAAGCUCUCAAAGUCAACUUCGUUAUACUCUUUACAAUAUAUUUAAAUAAUGGAGCACCAAAAACACACAUACACACACAUAGCCUUGAUGCUACUUUUGU